rnacentral:rRNA from 1 species
GAUCAUGGCUCAGAGUGAACGCUGGCGGCAGGCCUAAUACAUGCAAGUCGAACGGCAGCACAGCAGAGCUUGCUCUGUGGGUGGCGAGUGGCGGACGGGUGAGGAAUACGUGGGAAUCUGCCCAGUCGUGGGGAUAACGUAGGGAAACUUACGCUAAUACCGCAUGCGCCCUUCGGGGAAAGCCGGGGACCUUCGGGCCUGGCGCGAUUGGAUGAGCCCACGUCGGAUUAGCUAGUUGGCGGGGUAAAGGCCCACCAAGGCGACGAUCCGUAGCUGGUCUGAGAGGAUGAUCAGCCACACUGGAACUGAGACACGGUCCAGACUCCUACGGGAGGCAGCAGUAGGGAAUAUUGGACAAUGGGCGCAAGCCUGAUCCAGCCAUGCCGCGUGAGUGAAGAAGGCCCUCGGGUUGUAAAGCUCUUUUGUCCGGAAAGAAAAGCGCCGGGUUAAUACCCUGGUGUCCUGACGGUACCGGAAGAAUAAGCACCGGCUAACUUCGUG